rnacentral:rRNA from 1 species
UGCGCAGGCGGUUCUCCAAGUCCGUUGUGAAAGCCCCGGGCUCAACCUGGGAAUGGCAGUGGAAACUAGGGGACUUGAAUCUGGCAGAGGGGGGUGGAAUUCCACGUGUAGCAGUGAAAUGCGUAGAGAUGUGGAGGAACACCGAUGGCGAAGGCAGCCCCCUGGGCUGAGAUUGACGCUCAGGCACGAAAGCGUGGGGAGCAAACAGGAUUAGAUACCCUGGUAGUCCACGCCCUAAACGAUGUCAACUAGGUGUUGGGGAAGCGAUUUCUCAGUACCGCAGCUAACGCGUGAAGUUGACCGCCUGGGGAGUACGGUCGCAAGAUUAAA